CUUCUCUCUCUCUCUCUCCCUCUCUCUCAUCUCUCGGUCCAUGCUUAGGUUUAUUUGUUCUUUUGGAUCGAAUAUCUCUUCUUAGUUCGAAUUGGUUAGUGAGAUUGUCGGAUUAGUGCCAUCGCUGAUCCUUCUUCUUCGUAACAAUCAGGAAAUCUUACCGUGUAAUUUAUUUCAAGUAUGUCGCAGUGGAGCGGAAAUGUUUCUGAUUUUCACGCUGUUCAACCUUCAUGGGAAUCAGGAUCCUCGUUCAUGGGAAAUGAUACUGUUCAAUCUGAACCUCCUAAAACCAGAAAACCAAGUCUUAGCAUUGAGGCUUUUACAGUCCAAUGCAACACUUGUCUCAAGUGGAGGGUCAUUCCUUCGGAGGAAAAAUAUGAAGUGAUAAGAGAAAAGCUUGAAGAAAACCUGUUUUACUGCGAAACAGCAAGUGAAUGGAAGCCCGGUAUGUCUUGUGACGUUCCUGAGAAUGUAUCUCAGUAUAGAACCUCUGUGUGGGCUCUGGAUAGGCCAGGCAUUCCUUGCCCACCAGCUGGCUGGAAACGUUCAGUGCGGUUUAGAAAUGAAGGAUCUACCAGAUUUGCUGAUGUCUAUUAUGCUACUCCGUCAGGAUAUCAGCUUCGGUCAUAUGUGGAAGUUCAAAAGUACUUGGACGAGUACCCGCAGUACAAAAUAGAAGGCGUCAACAUUUCACAAUUCUCAUUCCAAAUGCCGAUACCGCUUCAGGAAAACUAUGUGAGAAAGCUCCCAGCUAAACCCUCGAAAAGGAUUAGAACAACAGAUUUAUCAACCUCUAGCCCCUGUGGUGAUCUAGCUAGAGAAGACUGAAUUCGACCCUGAUUGUUUAUUUUUUAUCUUCUCUGACUUUUUUGUUUUGUUUGGGUAUAUCGAAGGAACUGCGGACAUGUGAUUAGCUUGUUUUGUGUGUACCAGAGAAGCGAUGUACAAGCCAUACUCUUCAUAGAAGAAACUGAAAACAAGUGGUUCACUAUUUUAUUUUGCAAUUCCUCCCUUUAUGAGAAGACGAUACGAAGGCACAUACCAGCCCUCGAUGACAGACUCCGACAUAUCAUUCCAUUCCUUUUAUCAUAAAGCUCUAACAAGAUAACAUUGUAAAAUCUUUAUCUAAUACUCUUUGGGAGAGUGAAAUAGCAAGUGCGAAAGCUAUCAGGUUUCAAGCUCCACAAUAAGGUCAGGUUUAUUGGAACUCUAUGAAUCAUGUUAUGAUGCUAUGACCAAAAUAUUGCUGAAAGUUUAGUCAUGCAUUUGAUAA